rnacentral:rRNA from 1 species
GACGAACGCUGGCGGCGUGCUUAACACAUGCAAGUCGAACGGAAAGGCCCUGCUUUUGUGGGGUGCUCGAGUGGCGAACGGGUGAGUAACACGUGAGUAACCUGCCCUUGACUUUGGGAUAACUUCAGGAAACUGGGGCUAAUACCGGAUAGGAGCUCCUGCUGCAUGGUGGGGGUUGGAAAGUGUCGGCGGUUGGGGAUGGACUCGCGGCUUAUCAGCUUGUUGGGGGGGUAGUGGCUUACCAAGGGUUCGACGGGUAGCCGGCCUGGGAGGGUUAACGGCCACAUUGGGACUGAGAUACGGCCCAGACUCCUACGGGAGGCAGCAGUGGGGAAUAUUGCACAGUGGGCGGAAGCCUGAUGUAGCAACGCCGCGUGCGGGAUGCCGGCCUUCGGGUUGUAAACCGCUUUCGCCUGUGACGAAGCGUGAGUGACGGUAAUGGGUAAAGAAGCACCGGCUAACUACGUG